UAACCUCCGCAGGCUGGCCAGCCUCCAGGCCGAGCUGGGCGAGUAUCUCUUCAAAAGGCUCACCAUUAAGCAUGACUAGUAUC
rnacentral:pre_miRNA from 1 species